rnacentral:rRNA from 2 species
GGGCCGAAGGCGACUCUCUGGUCUGUAACUGACGCUGAGGAGCGAAAGCGUGGGGAGCGAACAGGAUUAGAUACCCUGGUAGUCCACGCCGUAAACGAUGAGUGCUAAGUGUUAGGGGGUUUCCGCCCCUUAGUGCUGCAGCUAACGCAUUAAGCACUCCGCCUGGGGAGUACGGUCGCAAGACUGAAACUCAAAGGAAUUGACGGGGGCCCGCACAAGCGGUGGAGCAUGUGGUUUAAUUCGAAGCAACGCGAAGAACCUUACCAGGUCUUGACAUCCUCUGACAAUCCUAGAGAUAGGACGUCCCCUUCGGGGGCAGAGUGACAGGUGGUGCAUGGUUGUCGUCAGCUCGUGUCGUGAGAUGUUGGGUUAAGUCCCGCAACGAGCGCAACCCUUGAUCUUAGUUGCCAGCAUUCAGUUGGGCACUCUAAGGUGACUGCCGGUGACAAACCGGAGGAAGGUGGGGAUGACGUCAAAUCAUCAUGCCCCUUAUGACCUGGGCUACACACGUGCUACAAUGGACAGAACAAAGGGCAGCGAAACCGCGAGGUUAAGCCAAUCCCACAAAUCUGUUCUCAGUUCGGAUCGCAGUCUGCAACUCGACUGCGUGAAGCUGGAAUCGCUAGUAAUCGCGGAUCAGCAUGCCGCGGGUGAAUACGUUUCCCGGGGCCUUGUACACACCGCCCGUCACACCACGAAGAGUUACCAG